CUCAGGUUCAGUGCACAUAGAGACAUAACAUUAUUGUGGUAGUUACCAUUCAGACAUCAAACGAUAGUCACUUUGAACUUAAAAUGUAGUAUCCUGCCAUCAAUCAUCGUUUGUUAUGCAGACGACACACUGAAACUUACAAUUGCGAAAGGACUACGAAUAAUUUUAUUGAUUGAACGUUCCGGAACAUUACUGAGCGCGUUUGCAUUAAUUUGUCAUAGCGCUUGAAAGUGUACCGAUAUUGGACAUUAUGGAUGACCAUUGGGAUCCCAGUAGUGGGCCGGGCAGUUGGUGCAAAGAUGAUCGUGAAGUGCUGAACAGGUUACAAUCACCCCCGGAAAAAGAGCGGCAGUGGGCUAAGAGAAAUUUUGAUGCUUACCGAAGCGACAGCAGCGCGAAAUCGACGCCACAGAAAAAACAUCCCACAGUAACUUUGCGUUCAGACGCCGACGUCGAACAUAGCGGAACUGCAAGCCAUCAACCGAGACCCCAGACUGGGCGUCGCCGGUUACCGUUCCCAUCUGACGAGAGCCGAAGAUCGCCGUUAAGUUUAGCGAGCGCAAGCGCCAUUUUUUUUGA